UUUAAAUGGCCGCAGUAUAUUAACUGUGCAAAGGUAGCAUAAUCAUUAGUCUUUUAAUUGAAGGCUGGUAUGAAUGGUUGGACGAAAUAUUAACUGUUUCAAGUGAAUUAAAUAUAGAAUUUUAUUUUUUAGUCAAAAAGCUAAAAUAGUAUUAAAAGACGAGAAGACCCUAUAAAUCUUUAUAAUUAUUAAUGUAUUAAAUAUAAAGAAUAAUUUAUUUAUUAUGUGGGUAAUUAUUUUAUUGGGGUGAUAUAAAAAUUUGUAAAACUUUUUAUUUUUUAAAUUCAUUGAUUUAUGAGUUGUUGAUCCAAUAAUAUUGAUUAAAAAUUUAAGUUACUUUAGGGAUAACAGCGUAAUUUUUUUGGAGAGUUCAUAUCGAUAAAAAAGAUUGCGACCUCGAUGUUGGAUUAAGAGAUAUUUUUGGAUGUAGCCGUUCAAAGGUUAAGUCUGUUCGACUUUUAAAUUCU
rnacentral:rRNA from 1 species